rnacentral:rRNA from 1 species
CCUACGGGAGGCAGCAGUGAGGAAUAUUGGUCAAUGGACGAGAGUCUGAACCAGCCAAGUAGCGUGAAGGAUGACUGCCCUAUGGGUUGUAAACUUCUUUUAUAUGGGAAUAAAAUGUUCCACGUGUGGGAUUUUGUAUGUACCAUAUGAAUAAGGAUCGGCUAACUCCGUGCCAGCAGCCGCGGUAAUACGGAGGAUCCGAGCGUUAUCCGGAUUUAUUGGGUUUAAAGGGAGCGUAGGUGGAUUGUUAAGUCAGUUGUGAAAGUUUGCGGAUGAACCGUAAAAUUGCAGUUGAAACUGGCAGUCUUGAGUACAGUAGAGGUGGGCGGAAUUCGUGGUGUAGCGGUGAAAUGCUUAGAUAUCACGAAGAACUCCGAUUGCGAAGGCAGUUCACUGGACUGCAACUGACACUGAGGCUCGAAAGUGUGGGUAUCAAACAGGAUUAGAUACCCCGGUAGUC